rnacentral:rRNA from 1 species
CGCGGCCUAUCAGCUUGUUGGCGGGGUAAUGGCCCACCAAGGCGACGACGGGUAGCUGGUCUGAGAGGAUGGCCAGCCACAUUGGGACUGAGAGACGGCCCAGACUCCUACGGGAGGCAGCAGUGGGGAAUCUUGCGCAAUGGUCUAACGACUGACGCAGCGACGCCGCGUGUGGGAGGACGCCUUUCGGGGUGUAAACCACUGUUGCCCGGGACGAGCAGCCCUUUUCGAGGGGUCUGACGGUACCGGGUGAGGAAGCACCGGCUAACUCCGUGCCAGCAGCCGCGGUAAUACGGAGGGUGCGAGCGUUGUCCGGAAUCAUUGGGCGUAAAGGGCGCGUAGGUGGCACGAUCAGCGUGCGGUGAAAGCUCGGGGCUCAACCCCGAGUCGGCCGUGCGAACUAUCGAGCUGGAGCACUGUAGAGGCAGGCGGAAUUCCGGGUGUAGCGGUGGAAUGCGUAGAGAUCCGGAAGAACACCGGUGGCGAAGGCGGCCUGCUGGGCAGUUGCUGACACUGAGGCGCGACAGCGUGGGGAGCAAACAGGAUUAGAUACCCUGGUAGUCCACGCCGUAAACGAUGGGCACUAGGCGCUUGGGGGAGCGACCCCCCGAGGGCCGGCGCUAACGCAUUAAGUGCCCCGCCUGGGAGUACGG